rnacentral:rRNA from 1 species
GUUAUAUGGUCAAGUGAAGAAGCGCAUACGGUGGAUGCCUUGGCAGUCAGAGGCGAUGAAAGACGUGGUAGCCUGCGAAAAGCUUCGGGGAGUCGGCAAACAGACUUUGAUCCGGAGAUGUCUGAAUGGGGGAACCCAGCCAUCAUAAGAUGGUUAUCUUGUACUGAAUACAUAGGUGCAAGAGGCGAACCAGGGGAACUGAAACAUCU